rnacentral:lncRNA from 13 species
AUGUACCCCAGAGAUGAGAGGCUGCCUGGCAGAACUGUUGGUGGAUGUGGCUUGGGCUCUUGGGGUCUUGGGGCCUGGAUGCAAUAUGAUCUGACCCCGUGCUACGCAGACCACCCAGCUCAUAGCCCUGGCUGCCGCCAGCGCCUGCAAUUUCUCAAGAGAUGGCAUCUUGCUACGUUGCCCAGGCUGAUCCUGAACUUCUGGACUCAAGUGAUCCUCCCACCUCAGCCUCUCAAAAUGCUGCGGUUGCAGGCACGAGUCACUGUGCCUAGCCUACCCCCCACUUUUAGAUGGGGGUUUCUCUUGGGGAAUAACCUACCUCCAUCUCAUUAUGCUGUGAUGCCUGGGAACUUCUGUGGCCACCUUGCUUCCAGCCAAUACACAGAGUAGGGCAACUCUCAGAAAACCCCCAAGAAGAGAAUUGGAGUGUGAAAUACACUGCCUGGAAUCCUGUCUUCCCAACUUUGGGCUUCCGGAUCUAUCAGGUAAUAAACUCCCUCGCGUGCUAAGGUACUCUGAGUUG